AUACCUUUCUCGGCCUUUUGGCUAAGAUUAAGUGUAGUAUCUAUUAUGUGGCCCAAUGGGUCACACAAUAUUAAAGUCUCUCGAGUGUCGUCUAUGUGUUGCACUAUUGCAUGGGCUGACGCACCCCAC
rnacentral:snRNA from 2 species